UUAUAAGAAGUUUUUGAAUUGGCUCAGGAUGAACGCGGGCGGCGUGCUUAACACAUGCAAGUCGAACGAUGAAGCCCAGCUUGCUGGGUGGAUUAGUGGCGAACGGGUGAGUAACACGUGAGCAACCUGCCCCUGACUCUGGGAUAAGCGCUGGAAACGGUGUCUAAUACAGGAUAUGUCCCGUCACCGCAUGGUGUGCGGGUGGAAAGAUUUUUCGGUUGGGGAUGGGCUCGCGGCCUAUCAGCUUGUUGGUGAGGUAAUGGCUCACCAAGGCGUCGACGGGUAGCCGGCCUGAGAGGGUGACCGGCCACACUGGGACUGAGACACGGCCCAGACUCCUACGGGAGGCAGCAGUGGGGAAUAUUGCACAAUGGGCGGAAGCCUGAUGCAGCAACGCCGCGUGAGGGAUGACGGCCUUCGGGUUGUAAACCUCUUUUAGCAGGGAAGAAGCGAGAGUGACGGUACCUGCAGAAAAAGCACCGGCUAACUACGUGCCAGCAGCCGCGGUAAUACGUAGGGUGCAAGCGUUAUCCGGAAUUAUUGGGCGUAAAGAGCUCGUAGGCGGUCUGUCGCGUCUGCUGUGAAAUUCCGAGGCUCAACCUCGGGCUUGCAGUGGGUACGGGCAGACUAGAGGCCUAGAAAUACCCGGCC
rnacentral:rRNA from 1 species